GAACUGAAGAGUUUGAUCAUGGCUCAGAUUGAACGCUGGCGGCAGGCCUAACACAUGCAAGUCGAGCGGAUGAAGGGAGCUUGCUCCUGGAUUCAGCGGCGGACGGGUGAGUAAUGCCUAGGAAUCUGCCUGGUAGUGGGGGAUAACGUCCGGAAACGGGCGCUAAUACCGCAUACGUCCUGAGGGAGAAAGUGGGGGAUCUUCGGACCUCACGCUAUCAGAUGAGCCUAGGUCGGAUUAGCUAGUUGGUGGGGUAAAGGCCUACCAAGGCGACGAUCCGUAACUGGUCUGAGAGGAUGAUCAGUCACACUGGAACUGAGACACGGUCCAGACUCCUACGGGAGGCAGCAGUGGGGAAUAUUGGACAAUGGGCGAAAGCCUGAUCCAGCCAUGCCGCGUGUGUGAAGAAGGUCUUCGGAUUGUAAAGCACUUUAAGUUGGGAGGAAGGGCAGUAAGUUAAUACCUUGCUGUUUUGACGUUACCAACAGAAUAAGCACCGGCUAACUUCGUGCCAGCAGCCGCGGUAAUACGAAGGGUGCAAGCGUUAAUCGGAAUUACUGGGCGUAAAGCGCGCGUAGGUGGUUCAGCAAGUUGGAUGUGAAAUCCCCGGGCUCAACCUGGGAACUGCAUCCAAAACUACUGAGCUAGAGUACGGU
rnacentral:rRNA from 1 species